GGGGUCUGUGGGGGGGGGGGUGCGAACACGAGCUCCACUGCCUGAGCCUUUCUCGAUGUUGGUCUCCAUGCCACUGUAUCUAUGACCCAGGCCCCUAUCUAGCCUUGUUCCCAGAUUACGUCUGUCCCUGUACACCCUCCGCCCCCCCCUCAGUCACCUUGCCCCGCGUCUUUGCAUGCAUAUCUAUAGUGUAGCUCCCAUUUACGUUACCAUUAAACAUAGAAAAGUUCACAAAGCAAAUGUUAUACAAGCCUGGAUUCACAUGGCUGGAUGGACAGUUCUCAGGCUCAGCGACACAGCAUCCUCUCAGCAAGGCGAGUUAGCGUUUGGCUUUCCUCCAUGAUGGAGGGAGUCUUUGGGUCUCUUUCGUUGCGGGCGGAAUUUCUAUGCCCCAGGUUCUAAGGAUUUUCAUUCCUUCGUCUGGGCUUUGUAUUGUAGUUGGUCUUCCGUUUCUCUGUACGAUCAGCUUCACCGGGUAUCCCCAUCUGUAUGGUAUUUGUUGUUGGCGGAGUUGCGUCGUGAUUCCUGCAAAAUCCUUUCUGCGUUUAAGCGUGUAUGCUGAGAUGUCGGCGUAGAUUGCUAUUGCCUG